AUACAGCUCUAUUCACAGACAGGGCUGAGGAUUCCUAGGAAGCAGUCUAAAACAUGACACUGCUGGGUUUUCUCCUUUGCCUGAUGUCAGCUCCUCAUGAUGUCCUGUCCCAGGUGCAGCUGCAGGAGUCGGGACCUGACCUGGUGAAGCCAUAUCAGGCUCUGUCCCUCACCUGUUCAGUCUCUGGCUACUCCAUCACCAGCGGUUAUAGUUGGAACUGGAUCCGUCAGCCUCCAGGAAAGAGCCUGGAGUGGAUGGGGUAUAUAAGUAGCAGUGGUGGCACUGGCUACAACCCAUCCCUCCAGAGCCGCAUCUCCAUCUCCAGAGACACAGGCAAGAACCAGUUCUCCCUGCAGUUGAAAUCCAUCACCGCAGAAGACACAGCCACCUAUUACUGUGCAAGAAACACAGUGCUUUGA